AAGCAAUUGCUGAACAGCAAAUGACUUUCAGCUGGACUGUGUUAACCAUGGGUGGUGCUGCCCUGAGAGAUGGCUGCAGGGAGCACUGGCUCUAUUUAAGACAGUAUCUGCCAGCCCUUUUUGGCCUAUGAGUGGUGGGGCAGUUGUGUUGGGGUGGUGCUCUUGGUGGUUGCCUGUGGUCUCCAGGAGUAUUGUGCCUGUGCUGGUGGCCCUGGAAAAGCCUUCCUGACUCAAACCUGGCCGUGCUAUUGGAGGAGGUGAUGCUCUGAUAGAAGUUUUCAACACCUGCCUGCUGAGUGAUAACUGGCUUGGUUUCCUGGUCUCCUCAGUGCAGGUUUGGAUGCAGCCAGAAUUGCAACAAACCCUUCUAUUGGCUGCUGGAUUGAAGUCUAAAUUCUGACCCACAUGCGAAUUUUGUGAUUGGUUCCAUUUGUUACAAUGAGUGGUACUAAUUAUCUGGAUCUAAGUAUAAUUAGAUGAAUCUAGAUCAUAAGUCUGGGAAUUGUACCCAAAAAUAUGAAGUUCAUUACCCUUUGUUCUCUAGUUUCACUGAAUAACAAUAGUAAGUACUAGCCAUUCCUGCUCGGAAUCUAUUACAAGCCACCUCAAAGGCCAAUGAAGCCUAUAAAGAAAAAGCAUGUAACCUAUGGGAACAGCACAUCCUUACAAGCUUGCAGAACUGCAGUCGUGGAGGAAGGUAGCUAUACGUACCUCAGGGAGGAUGCAAACAAUUCACAUUUUAUUUUUGCCUAAUACCCCAACCUUUAUAUUUUUACCCAAAUUUGAUAGUUUUUAUUCCCUGAUUUGAUUCAUUGUGUACAUUCUUUUCUAGAUAGCAGUUUAACUGUUGUUUUGUCAUAAAGAGGUGAUGCAGGUUCUUGUCAGUCUUAGGGUGAUUCUGGGAUGAGUGCUUCUACCCUAGUGUUGAAAAUCUGAAGACUUCUUUAUGUCUGCAUUGAGUCUGGUUUUGUUUCUCUUCAUCCUGAGAGAUCUCUCUGGCUAGCAACCCCAGCGCAAACUAGAGAACGCUGUCUCUUUAGUAUGAAAGAACUCAUAACUGUUUCAGAAAGCAUCGCUGUUUCAGUAUCAAGCUGAAAGUUUGAGUAUCCUGGAGCUUUUAGGGUAGUUACUGUUCUGCUAAAAUAAAAACCUGAGCUCACGAGUGA